rnacentral:lncRNA from 1 species
UGACCAGCUGACGCGAUCGCACGCGUGAAUGCGCCCCUGCCAGGAUGUGCUGACCGUCCAGUUUCCCAGGGAUGUGCUGAGGAGUGUGUUGACCGACCUCCCACAGAAUGACAGCACUACCCUGGACAUACUGAAGAGUGUGCUGACCCUGCUGGAAGCAUCCAAGCGGAUCUGGGAUGAGCUCAGCAGUGUUCUACAGGACCAACAGCUGUGUGAGAUAUUGAGCAUCAGCACAGAGGAGUUGGGCCUCCUUCGCUUGACUGCGAUGCCUCCCACUGAAGAGCUGGUGAAGGAGCUGUGUAAGCCAGCACUGCUCCAGAAGCUUCUGAAUGUGGAAAGCCUGCCAGUGCUCUGGCUGGUGCUCAGACGUCUCGUGCUGCUGUCGGAUAGACCUGAGACGGCAAUUGAAAUCCGGGCCCUGCUUCCAGGCGUCAUGGAGAACCUGCUGUUUGCCAACACAGCCAUUACUGUGAAGGUGCUGAAUAUCUUCAGGAAUGCAAUGCACCAUCUGGGGAAGAGGCACGCCAGUCCGUUUGCUCUGGAGCUGGCUGAGAAGAUCCUGCCUCUUUUUAAUCACGUAAGUCUGUUGUGGGAGGCUGAGCUCUGCGGGUGGGUGCUUGACAGGAGCGUCUUCUCCUUUCUUUCCUUCUCUGGGCUCUCAGGAAUGAGAUGUCCUGUGGGCUCUGUAGCACUGCUGGCCGUGUCCCUGCUAGUGCAGCUUGGUUGUUCUUGGUGA